rnacentral:rRNA from 1 species
GGCGGACGGGUGAGUAACGCGUAGGAAUCUACCUAAUGGUGGGGGAUAGCCCAGGGAAACUUGGAUUAAUACCGCAUAAGUCCUAAGGGAGAAAGCGGGGGAUCUUCGGACCUCGUGCCAUUAGAUGAGCCUGCGUAAGAUUAGCUAGUUGGUGAGGUAAGAGCUCACCAAGGCGACGAUCUUUAGCUGGUCUGAGAGGAUGAUCAGCCACACUGGGACUGAGACACGGCCCAGACUCCUACGGGAGGCAGCAGUGGGGAAUAUUGGACAAUGGGGGCAACCCUGAUCCAGCCAUGCCGCGUGUGUGAAGAAGGCCUUCGGGUUGUAAAGCACUUUCAGAUGUGAGGAAAGGUUGCAGAUUAAUACUCUGCAGCUGUGACGUUAACAUCAGAAGAAGGACCGGCUAACUCCGUGCCAGCAGCCGCGGUAAUACGGAGGGUCCGAGCGUUAAUCGGAAUUACUGGGCGUAAAGCGCGC